CCGAACGACCUGGCUGCCUGACUUGCACAGCCAAGCCCUGUGUGAACACAGGGGCUAAGGCUGUGUGAUCACCUGUAACACUUCGUGCUCAAACCUGAGAUCCAGGUGCUAUAGUCAGCUCCUCAGUCAUCUGUUUAAAGGUCUGAGCGCCUUCACUGAUUGUGGAAGUUACAGGGAGUUGUUUUCUCCCACCUAGAGGUGUGUCGUUCAUUGUUGCCACUGAAGACCAGGCUGCAGAAUCCUCAAACAAUACUUACUGUUUUCCAUCCUGGAGGCGGCUGAAUUACAGUGGUGAGCAAAAUGCCCUUUGUACAUAUGGUAAGUAAUCAGCUGCUGAAUUUCAUGAGGUGCUUGGUGAUCUUUGGAUUGGGGAUGCCCUAUGUGUUGGUCACUCCUUGGCAGGAGCAGACGUAGGCUCUGGAUGAUGGGUAAAGUGAGAAUUCCAGAGAACUGAACAAGAUAAGAUGAACGUUUAUGAUAAGCCAUCCUUUCUCUCACACACACUCUUAAAAAAAAAAAAAAAUCAUUAUAUUUAUUCAUUUUUCAAUGUAACAAAAGAAAGUGUGUCCAAAAAGGAUUUUCUGUUGCGUAAGUAAAAGGUAUCAAAGUGAUUCAAAAACUCAGAUCUCCUCUCUAACCACAGCACAAGCUAUAAAAAUCUUCCCCUUUCUACUGUCUUACCCAGUAUAUUUCAUCUGGGAUCUGAAGGGGCUGCUCAGGGAAUUAGAGACAAUGCUGUACCUGUAUCCAUGUUUGUAAAAGUCCGCUAUGGUGGUAGUUUGUCAUAUGGACCUGUUGCAGGUGGCCACCUGUUUGCACUGCAGGCAUUCUGAGGGCUUGACAAAAACACACUAAACAUAAUGAAAAUGUCUGUAAUGUAGUCUCUAAACUUUUCAUUCUGCUGCCACGCUUGUGCAAUUUCAAAUGAUGCUGUACGUCCUCCAUUCCAGUGGCCUGACUGAGCAUCAGCAUUCAUUUACAAGGUGACUGGAGUGCUACUUAAGCAAAGUAAAAAUACAUUCAGUUUGUUUUUCUGUCCACCAUCGCGUGGUUAGUUCUAAGUGAAUUUCAUGUCAAGUUGAUGGCCCAGGCAUCCUCCUUUUAUCUAUAAGCACUUACUCCAGUGGCAGAACAAAAGCCCUUCUGCUCUGAUCCUUAACAGUAUAUCUUCCUACAGAAGCGACUUCAGAUGGCAGCCCCUCCAAGCCCUUGAUCUCUCUGCCAGCCUCUGUAACGAAGGUGCAGAUUUGCGAUGGUGCUUUCUAUGAUGUGCUUCCCUAGCAGAAACUCGACUGGGAAUUUCAAAUCGUCUCACAGGGAGCAGCGCUGUCUAAUAUUAUUAUUCACCGAUGUUCUAAAAAUAGUUGUGAUUAGAUUAUAGUAGAUAGAAACCCAUGGAAAUGGACCAGAAUGAUAACAGUUACUUUGGAAUGAAAAAAAAAAAAAAAGUUUCCAGAGGAAAAUAUUUAAUUAUUUUAUAUGCCUCUUAACUGCCAUGAAGGGUAUUGGUGAUUUCUUAUUAUUUUUGUUGUUGUUGUUGGGUUUGGACAGAAGAGCCUGGAUUGCAGAUGCCAAGAAAUAUGGUAACAGCAGCAUUUCUCACAAACUUUGCCUGUUUUGUGAAGUGUUGGCCGUGACACCUGAUUAUGCGACUGCCCACUGUGUAGGAGUUACAAGGUCAGCAUGAACUAAACAAAGGAAAACCGUGGUCUCACCCAAUAUACAGCCCACAGCAAACACAGAGUGUGCGGGGAGUAAUGAGUUUGCAUGAUAAGAGUAUAAUCGUUGUUUUGGGUGCUGUUGUCCUUGAAAACUGCUUUAGAAGCUUUUCCCAUCAGGUAGCAUCAGCUGUGAGUGAGAGCAGCCUCCUUAGAAACUGCUAUUUUAUCCUGCUCACCUGCAGACAUAGGCUCUGAGCCUUCAGUACCUGUUCUCCAACUUCAGACAUGACAGCCAGAUGUUUUCUCUCCCCACCCAGACUGCUGGCAGCACACAUACCUCAGUUGGUAAAGCUUUAAGACGUCCAUCAGUCUCAUGGGAUCUCUGGUAAACACCGAGUAGAUUCCCUGGAGUGCUUCAUCAAGAUCAAGUGCAGCAAAAGACUCAGUGCUGUCUCAUUCUCUGCCCAGCCUUGGGCACAGAUUUGAGCAACAUGAGAGCUGCUGUGACCCAUGUCAUCUGGCAGUGGUCCCCAAGAGCUUGUUUACACAGGAUAUUUUUUCACGAGAAUGUAAUUACACCGCUGAAACUACAUGAGCGUGAAAACUUUGCACGUGUAGCAGAGUUAAGCCAGGACUUCUGCGUUAGCCAGGGCUCGAUUCUGCAAGGUGCAGAGCGCAGGUGUGAGGCACUGACUGUCCCUUGUUCCCUGCCAUCAGCGGCCCAGGAGAACAGUCAUUGUCCUUCAGGAAUGCUUGACAUCAUUCGGAAAUGCUGAGCACCUUCCAGGACUGGAACUACUGGGAUGAACAGGGCAGAAACAGGCUCAUGCUUUGCAUUUGGCCCAGGCUAUGCUUUUAAAGGACAUGAGGAAGUUCUUUAUUCUGGACUACGAGCCUGCUCUUGCUUUGACUGAAGCAAGUGGAUUUUGUUUCUGUACUUUGAUGUAGAGAGUAGAGAUUGAUUUUCAUCAGCUUGUGGCUGUUGAGUAGCAAGUCAGGCAGUCUGGCUGCUCCACAGCAUCACAGGCAGGCUGAGCCACAAACACAGCAUCAUCAUUUUUUUUCACACCUUCCUCUGCUCACCUUCAUCAAACAGCUCCUCUUCAUUAAAGCAGUUCCUCCGCUUCUCUGCUCGCUUUACAUGUUAUGACACUGCUGUGAAGCACAGAAUUCACUGAAGCCUUAGAGAGAAAUAGAUAAAUGAGACAUCUUGAGCCAUCACUACAGAGAGAGAAAAGGAGGACAUGGUGCUGAUUUCAGCAAACACUCAUGUUUCCACAACACUUACUCACUGUUAGGCUACUCCACAAACCUUUUAUGUAAAGAAAAUUUGCAAGAAUAGCAACGAAGAUGACAUAAUGAAUGAAGUGAGCAGUUAUUUUUGGCUGCCCCCAAUUUGGGUGACAUUGAGUUUGGCCACAGCACCUGCCAUGAUGGCUUGAUAAGGUCUGAAAUAGUGCCUGAAUAAUAAAUGAGGCUCACAUCUGGUAAAAUUCAGUGUUUGAGGUUUUUUUUUUUAAUGUUCUUUUAUCAUGUUCCUGUUGCUUGACUUUAUCUGAAGGGAUUAUGUUUAGAGAGCAUACAUAGACAAAUAGAUAUGCUAAUAAAAAAUGCUAUAGUUGAUAAGGUACAGGCAACACGGAGCAUUCAGUGCAGGCUACAACCAGCUCCAGACUAAAAAUGGUUACUAACGUAACUGAAAUUUGUACUUUGGUCAUUAAAAAACACAGAUAACAAAUGAGUAAAUGAUCCUUUUGACUGGUUUACUUUCAGGAGGCUAGAUUAUAUUUGUCAGUGUAGAUCAAGAGAAUGGUGAAAGAAGGGAAAUAAAAGGAGUUGCGCUUUCUAUUCUAGUAACUAGAAUGAGGGGUCGAGGGGGAAAUGCAGGUUUCAAUCUGAUAAAUAAGUGCAUGAUAUAUGCCGGGCUUAUGGCAGUGUUGUUGCAGGCCAGGAGAGCUCGGGAGGGACGUGUAUUUCUAAGCCCUGUGAGACUGGCAGUUCUCACUCUUAAUCCAGUUCCCAUCUUCUCUGCUAGUGGAGAGAGUACCCACGUUCAGAGGCUUUGACAGGACUCAGCAUCCAACAGCAUCUGAUGGAUCACCUAUUACAGUCUGAAGACUUUAAAUCUGUCCAAGAGUGGUUUCCAAAGCUCAGAAUGAACGAUUUUGUAAUCAGCAACCUGACUUCCAGAGCUGCUUGAUAGUACAAAAUCUCAUUAAAGAUAAAAGACUAAAAGAAAAGUAAGCCUUCCAAACAAUUUUCCAAUUAAAAUUGACUUUUCUGGGGGGAAACAGAACAAACCAACAAAAAACUGGUUAUCUGGAAAGUUGAUACUCUAAUUUCUCAAAUGCAGAAUCCUGAAACACCUGGUAUCACCAACUCCCAGCAAGAAGCAGCAUUACUGAACACUGUGGCAGAAGCCUGGAUUCUAGAAAGAUCAGGGAAAAAGAAGAAACUGCAGUAGAAACAUUUGGCUUGUCACAAUUGUUAUAUGGCACCGUAGCUGCAACUUCGUAAUGUGCAAUAAAACUGACAUGACGAGUUUUCUUUGAAAAGCACUUUGGUUCUGGAAUAAAAUCACAUGCAUCAAAAAUAUGGCAUAGCCUUCUGUAUUGCAUAAUGUAUUGCAUAAGAGAAAAUAGAGAAUAGCUGUU
ensembl:lncRNA